ACUACGGGGCGCAGCAGUGGGGAAUAUUGGACAAUGGGCGAAAGCCUGAUCCAGCCAUGCCGCGUGUGUGAAGAAGGCCUUCGGGUUGUAAAGCACUUUCAGUGGGGAAGAAAGCCUUGGGGCUAAUACCCUCGAGGAAGGACAUCACCCACAGAAGAAGCACCGGCUAACUCCGUGCCAGCAGCCGCGGUAAUACGGAGGGUGCGAGCGUUAAUCGGAAUUACUGGGCGUAAAGCGCGCGUAGGCGGUCUGAUAAGCCGGUUGUGAAAGCCCCGGGCUCAACCUGGGAACGGCAUCCGGAACUGUCAGGCUAGAGUGCAGGAGAGGAAGGUAGAAUUCCCGGUGUAGCGGUGAAAUGCGUAGAGAUCGGGAGGAAUACCAGUGGCGAAGGCGGCCUUCUGGACUGACACUGACGCUGAGGUGCGAAAGCGUGGGUAGCAAACAGGAUUAGAUACCCGAGUAGUC
rnacentral:rRNA from 1 species